UCCAGUGGUAGUCAGCUGUCUGGGUCAUUUUCCAUGUCUUUGACAGUGUUACACUACUGGGAGAUAAAAGGACCGUCUCGGGGUCUGCCAGUGCCUGUCUCUGUUCCGGAGACGGUCGACGUGGCCUGUGCGGUCCUGGGCUUCUUAGCAAGUGUGCUGAGCAAAACAGACCCGGUCAGCACAAGUUUGGAAGCAAACACA